GAGAGGAGAGGAGAGGAGACAGGGUUAGAGAGUGAGAGGAGAGGAGACAUGGUUAGAGAGGAGAGGAGACAGGGAUAGAGAGGAGAGGAGACAGGGAUAGAGAGGAGAGGAGACAGGGAUAGAGAGGAGACAGGGAUGGAGAGGGAGAGGAGAAGGGAGGAGGGAAGAGGAGGAGAGAGGAUAUUAGAUAGGAAUGGAGAGGGAGAGGAGAGGAGGGGCGGAGAUAAGAGAGGAGACAGGGAGGAGAAGAGACAGGGUUAGAGAGGGAGAGGAGACAGGGAUAGAGAGGGAGAGGAGAGGAGACAGGGAUAGCGAGGGAGAGGAGAAGGGACAGGGAUAGAGAGGGAGAGGAGAGGAGACAGGGAUAGAGGAAGAGGAGAAGAGACAGUGAUAGAGAGGAAGAGGAGACAGGGUUAGAAAGUUGACAGUAUUGGACAAUUAUGUUUCAUAUUGUGAGAUUGUUAGUGCAAAUGGUUAUCAGGGCAGAGAGCCUCAUGCAGCAUUCCUCUGCUAACAGAAUAUGUGUCCCUAAUGGCACCCUAUUCCCUACCCUGGUUAAAGUAGUGCACUAUGUAGGGAAUAUACACUCAGUAUACCAAACAUUAGGAACACCUUCCUAAUAUUGUGAUGAUACACAUUUUUUACUUGUUUUUUAUUUCACCUUUAUUUAGCCAGGUAGGCCAGAUCACCUUUAUUUAACCAGGUAGGCCAGAUCACCUUUAUUUAACCAGGUAGGCCAGAUCACCUUUAUUUAACCAGGU
ensembl:lncRNA